rnacentral:misc_RNA from 1 species
GUGAAUCAUCGAAUCUUUGAACGCACAUUGCGCCCGCCAGUAUUCUGGCGGGCAUGCCUGUUCGAGCGUCAUUACAUCCCUCAAGCCCCCGGGCUUGGUGUUGGGGAUCGGCGAGCCUUAGCGCCCGCCGUCCCCUAAAUUUAGUGGCGGUCACGCUGUAACUUCCUCUGCGUAGUAGCACACUUAGCACUGGGAAACAGCGCGGCCACGCCGUAAAACCCCCCAACUUUUGAACGUUUGACCUCGAAUCAGGUAGGACUACCCGCUGAACUUAAGCAUAUCAAUAAGCGGAGGA